UCUCUCUUCGGCCUCCCUCCCUCUCCCCCCUCCUAGGCUCCAUCCGGCCAUGGCGCAUGGCCCUCCUCCCUCCAGCCGCGCCUCCUCCGGCGCGCCUCCUGCUCCGGCCGCGGCUCGCUCCAGCCUCGAGCACCCGCGCCACCUCCAGCGGCGAGCCCGGCCAUCUCCUCCGGCGGCCGCCCCUCCUCCUCCCUUUCCCCCUCGCUCCAUCGGCCGGAUCUGGCGGCGCCACCUCCUCUUCCCCCCUCGCUCCUCCGUCCUCAGCCGGACCACCACUCUAGCGCCACCCCUCGAGCCCCCCGGCCGCGAGCGACGGAGAUUCGCGGUGGGCGGGUAGAGCGGUGCGCGCGGCGCGGCCCCUUGAGCUCUGCCGCCGCCUCCAGAACAGGCGCUACAGCGGUGCCCGCCAGCGGGGCUCAUGCGCGGCGAGCUGCUCUGCGCGGCGAUCGGCGCGCGCGGGCGGUGCGGCGCGGCGCGGCGUAGCGGCGGCGGCACGCUCGUGAGGCCGGCCACGGCGAGGCGGCCCGGCAGUGGCGGCGCGCACGCGAGGCGGAACGGCGGCGGCGGCGUGCACGCGAGCGGCCGGAGCGCGGGACGGCGGCGUACGCGCGGCGGUUGGCGAGCCGAGAGCGCACGAGGUAGACGGGCCACGCCGGCAUGCGGUGACGGCCGCGAGCUGCCGCUCGAGCUCCACCCUCUCUCUCCUCCAUUCCUUCUCUCCUGUCUGCUCUCUCCCUCUCCUCUGCUUCUUCCUACGUCCGGUGGCGGACGAGCUGCGUCGGCGCGCCGACCGCUCGCUCCGCUCUUGGCCUUCCCUCGCGCCGGCCAUGGCCCCUGCUCCCUCCGCGCGCCGGCAGCGGGCGAGGGUGUGAGGGCGGAGCGUCGCGGGCGGGCGGGCGGAGCUCGGAUGGCGCGCGGAGGCCGAUGUUGCGCGGGGCCCAGACCACGUGUGACGAUGGCGGAGGAACGCUAUUCCUCUCGAUUUGGCGGAAGCUGCCCCCUUCCGCUUCGGUAGCGGACGUGAUAGAGUAUGCCGCUGCAGCAAAUUUUCCUCUAUCCAGAACUCGAGGGUCGCAUACCAGACGCCAGUGUGGGCAGCCUUGGUGCAAGUACUCUUGAUGGAGGUUUGCUCUUAGUAGAUUUGUUUGCACGAGUACCACAGAAAAAUUAGCAUAUAAAUAAGCAGCACAUGCCACAGCGUUCAAUUUAAAAAGGAACUUGUGUAGUAUAGAAUGGGGGAAAAAAUCAUGUGCACCAAAGUUGGUUUACGUUGGCAACUUAUAAGUUUCAUUUUCGUCUUCCCCUAUUUGGUUUUUUAUGGUGUAACCUAGUUGUUAAAGACACUCAGUAGCACCUUUGGUCCUAGGUUCGACUCCAUAUGCGAGCGAAUUUUCUAGAAUUUAAUGGUGUUUGUGCUUUCAGUAGUAGGCAACGUUGUCGUCGAUAGCGGGAUGCCUGUGGACUUCAUCAAUCUUGAGUAUUAGCCGGCUCAGAGUGUACGUGCAUUGUAAGUGUCUGAGUUAUAUUGUGUAUCUAAAAAAAUUACUCCCCUUGAGGUUUCUCCAAGGGCGUUAAUUAACACUCAAAUUAAUUCUAAUUCACUUGAUAUAGAAAUGACUGCUCAAGUUUCCCUCCAGAUCUGCUUUACUUGAUUUGCUUUACCAUAAAUACCCUAUUCUCGAGGACCUUAAGAUUGCCUAUGUUGCCCUCGAACACCCAAUUCUUAUUCCUGGAUUUGAACUUCACAAACUCGAAUUUCCGUUCAUAUCUUCUUUCCUUACUAGUAGUUUAUUAGUUAUAUUCAUCUGCCUAAUAAGUAGCACUUCAACACACAACUCUCUUGAUUUCACCAAAGGUUUAUUAUUUUAUUAAAUUUAAAAUUACUAUAGAUCAAGUUUAACUCAAAAGAAAAUUAAUCAUGAAAUUAGAAACAAAAUGAAAAAAUGUGUUAGAGACCUUGGAAACACAUGGAUUUAAUUUGUCUGCUUCACUAUUAAAUCAUUAGAUGGAUCCAAAUCGCUGGUAAGAAAGAAAGGAAGAAUAUAACAUGGGAGGAAAGAACUUUCAACUACAAGGCACCUAAAACAUGGGGAAUGGGAAUAGCAUUUCUGUAAAUACAGUCCAAGCUCUCUACCGCCACUGCAGUAGUGGCUCCUGCCGAUGUAGGCAUGAACUUAUCGUAAGUAUGUUUCUCCAGCUUUUAGUAAGUUUAUGCAUUUACCAAACUUAUUUUCAUUACCUACCCAUGAACCUCCUAGCGUUCAGUAAGGUUAUCCUAGUGCUCAGAACAUAUCAAUCACAUGAAGAAGCUCCUACUGUGAUAUAUCCUAGUCUAGUCAGACAUUUGAGUGAAGGUGCACCAAUCGAAAAAAGCGCCAUAGAAAUUAAAUGUCCUGUCGAAACAAGAUGGCACUAAUCACGGGAAUACAAACAAGCCGGCACUUAGCAAUGGAGCAGUGGUUGGAAUGGUAGCAAUAGCAUGGAUCGAAGUCUAGUGCCCCCAGCAGAUGAAGAUAGACAGCAGUGUAGCGUGGAGGGGAGGUGAUUGAUUCGAUGUGCACGCUUUUGAUGGAGCUUGCUCGCUAGUAAUGCAAAAGGUUGAUGCAGCUUGGAGUGCAGUCGAGCUCAGCACUGUAGUGUGACAUUUCUAUUGGUGGCGCAAUGUCGCCGAAAUGGCCCUGUAGAAUAUAACGGAGUGCAGUGCUAGUUGCAUCUAGGAGAAUUAAUGGUCGUUGCUCAAACUAGUUUGCUUCGGAAGGCUCUUUUUCCCCAACUUCAAAAUAUUCCACUAUAUUCACCAUGCUUUGCUGCUCUUCAUUUUUUCUUUGAAAGGUCACUGUAACUUUUGGUGAUUGAUGGGAACCAAGCACGCAUGACCAACAGCACCUUUUUCACGUCCUUACAAUGCGUUGGAAUCAGAGGAGGAUCCACCAAUUAGUAGACAAUUUCUUCGUGCCUUAGUUUUUGUCACGAGACACAUAAACAUUAACAUUUUCUAGGGACGGAUGCCGCACCCGCUCUUGCUUUUCGCAUUUAAAAAGAGUGUUUGCAGAUACGAGCGCGUUACCCGUCCCUUGAAAAUGCAUUUCCAGGGGCGGCUCACCCCUUAUCUGCCCCCGGAAACUGAGUUUCAGGGAGGGUCGCCCCUUGCAGGGGCGGUUUGAGGGGUGACCUGCCUUAGAAAUGAUUUUCCAGCUGCAAAAAAAUUCACCAAUUUAAAUUUAAACUGUUCAAAUAUAUUUCAUAAAUAUAAAUAAUUAUGCAUGCACAAUUAAAUCAUGUGGAAAUAAAACACACCUAUAUAUCAUUACAAAGCAUAAUUAAUAUAGUUCAUACAAAUAUGUUUCAUAUAUGCCAUUACAAAGUUGAAUGCAUGUUUUUCUCCUAUUUACCUACCAGAGAAGGAAUGGUGUUUAAAAAUUAUGCCCCUUAGGUUGAUCACUUCGUGCAUAAUAAAAUAGCAUAAAUCGACAACUACUUCUAGAAGUUGUAUCUCAUGGACUUGCUCUUUAUUGCUUGGUGGAUGAUCCUGCAAUUAAUUAGAAUCAGAAAGUAAGCGAGUGUUAGAUAUACGCUAACAUAAUGUAACACAUGUACAUCUAUCCCUAAUAAAGAGUAGUCCCAUACACAUUUAGGAUUAGUUGUGUAUCUUCUUUGCACCCUGAGACGCUCGCUCAAGUAAUACCUGCAGUACACGGAACAAGCAGGUUGCUUGUCGCACAGGAAGUCUGUUCAUAGAGUCAUUUUUCUUUUCUUCACGGGGGAUGAGCACUGUCUAAUUUAAUGUACUGCUGGUAAGCCCUAUUUGAAAAAAUAAAGAAACCGGAAGUUAGUUUAUAAAUGCAUACUUUUUAUGGAAAAGUUUGCAUAAUGUACGUAUGGAUGAUAAUAAGUUCGAUCACUAAGAUUUUGAGGACGAUUAAGAAAUCCUCGUAACUGCUCAUCGUUAGCCAAUCUAAGGAGUCCAAUACGAGGACUCUUCCAAUCUUCGGUUGUAGUACAAAAACAAUCCAGUGAUUUCUGCGAAAAAUAUUAUAUACAAUUUCUAGCUAUGGAUCGGAGCAAGUAUGUAUUGUAACCAAAUGAUUGAAAUUAGACGUACCUGACGUUGUAUGGCACAAAAAUGCAGUCGGCCACAUCUUCCCAAUUGGUAAUCAGAGCAAGGUUUAUCAGUGAGAGACUUCCAAUCUUUUGCUGUUUUGCUUUUCCUAUAGUCCAAAAAAGCCAAAAAAAAUUGUAGAUUAGUCUACCUGCAAUCCUACAAACACUUUGAGCCUCUACUAGUACUACUCAGUUCAUGCUUGUUGAGUCUUUGGUUUCAUCGGUUGUGUCGAGUUGCUAGUCUUAGUUUUAGUUCCUUUAAAGUUUCGAGUUCUUGUCAUAGUCGCACAUCACAUGUACAACCUCUGUUCGCCUACUGGCAGUUUGAUCAUCCGUGGUGAAGUCCGAUUUGUGAUAAAGAUUUUCAGGUGAUCCUAAAAGGAAGAAGCAACUCAUACUUGCAGUCAAUCUCCUGCAUUUGUUGAGUUGGCCUUACACAAGAGAGAGAGGGAGAGAGAGAGAGAGAUUGUGUGUGUGUGUACGUGGUGAAUUACUCCUUUUGUAAUCUUUUGUUCAUAUAAUCGGUUUGUGAGUUUUCCUUGAAAAAAAAAGAAACAACAACAACAACAACAACAACAACAACAACAAAACAAACAAAAAGCAAAGAAGAGGUUGAUCCUCCCUUUGUUGUUCCUGCUAUUUCUAUUGGUGUAUUGUGGUUUCCCUUGUGUCCAGACUUGCUUAUCUACCAUGGUCUAGGCUAGGACCAGCAUAGUACCACCAACGAGAGAUUACUCAACUUGCUUUUUGUGACUAACAUGAUAGUACUAUUUCCUUGUGUCCAUUUUUAGCCCACCUACAACUCCACAUACUUGAUUUCAGCUUCACAGGAGUUGUUGCUGCAGUACCGAUACACUUUCUUCCUGGUCCACAACUUGUUGUUGUCGACACCUCCUACACCUCCUACGAGUAGGGUAAGAAUUGGUAAGAGCUUUAUACCACAUGUUGAGAGUGAGAGAGCACCACAUAGCAUUUACAUCUAGUAGUUGUAGGGAUUUGCUCUACUUCACUUGUUUCCUAUUUGUUCUUGUGCUUGUACCAUGGCAGGGUCAGGGGAUGAAGACGAGGAUGGUGGAGGCCCACUUACACCUCGUACCAAGGGUGGUGAAUGAGAAGGUUGGUGUACUAGAGGGUGGACCCAUUUCCACAAACAGCAAGCUUGUAGGGAUGGAGACCUCGAUCGGUCAUGUUGACAAGAGUCUUGCUGCUCUUUUGAGGUGCUUUGAUGACCUCCAUGCUAGGACUAAUAAUCAGCAUAGAGGAGGUGUCCAAGAGGGUGAGCACAUCGCAGAAAAUUCAGGUGCUGAUUAUUUUGCGGACACUGAAGUUGAGGAUCAAGAUCACCAUUAUGCCAUAACCGUCAGGGUAUGGGUGACACCACCACAUGAGGUACACAACAAUGACAAUGCUUUCGGCUGGUGUUCUAGGGCAUCCUCCACGAAGAGAUAAAUUGUAUAUAAAGACCCUUACAAGAAAAAAUGGAGUGGCACCAAGGAACGCAUGACCAAUUAUUAAUAAACUUAUAACCAUUGUUUGAGCUCAUCCAGAAAUGAAGCAGAAAACAAUUCAACAAGGUGAUGCAUAUGCUGCUGCUUGUGGAAAAAAGGAGCCAAGUGGAUGUGUUCGUGUUUUGGGCCUUGGACCAACCCCCCGCCCCCCCCCUCAAGAUGUUGGAACCCUGGGGUUGAAGUAUUACAAACCCACAAGGCUUCAAAUGGAAGCUCUUGCCCGUAAAAAGGCUGAACGUGAGAAAGCACCUCUAGAACAACUCAUUGCAGAAAUGGAGGAAGAUAUGGUAAUAAUGUCACAAAAUGGUUCUAAUUCAAUGCAUCAUGUGGGUCUGAAGAGCAUAUUCAUGAGGCCCAUCAUAAUGCUCAAUAUCAAGAAGAUGGAGCUUCAGACCACUCUGAUGAGGAUAAUUACUUGACUGUGAGAAGGCGUGUCGUAGCCCCAGCAACAGGUCAACACGAUCAAAGGAGCCCUAGAGGUGCAACCCUAGCAGUGCAGCCGCAUCGGUGCAUCCUUGUUAAACCAACCCCAGCACGGAAUCAUGCCUCUCCAUCUUCACAUGAUGAACUUGUUGGAAAGGAUGUGAUAUUAUAUGCCUUUCUGAGAUCUAAUCUAGCAGUGGCUAAGGGAACACUUAUUUCAACUGAUCCAAACAACAUGCUAGGAGGUGUGGCUCUUGGAAAGCAGUAUUUUGAAGUUGUGAAGUGCUGAAAAGGGAUACAAUUCUACCUCGUUCUUAUGGUUAUGUGGAGACCAUGGCUGAUGCACAUAAGAUGUCAAUUGCAUGGUCAUAUAAGAGAUUGAAGGUUACAAAAGGGAUCACGAUCUUCCCAAGGUACAUCAAGUAUUUAACAGCUCACUCUUCCACUAGUACUAUUUGAUCUCCAAAUUUUAGUUCCAGCUUUGGGAAUGUUAGGAUUUGUAGUAGUCCAUGCAGAAAGUACACUUAGUUGUAUGAAUUGCACAUAAUUAGCCAAUUUCCCAAACAUUAGGAUUCCUCCAAUGAGUAGGCAAGUUAGUUGUACAACAGCCAUCAGUUUUGUAGAUUAAUUUUCACUGUUCCUUUUGUUUACAUAGUUAACUUUCAACAUACAUUUUUUUACCAACUUACAAUUUUAACUUUGUUCAAGUGGGAGGUCUUAGAG